GGAGAGGUGUCCGAGUGGUUUAAGGAGCACGCCUGGAGAGCGUGUAUCCCGGCAACGGGAUCGUGGGUUCGAAUCCCACCCUCUCCGCCA
rnacentral:tRNA from 1 species